rfam:Salmo salar isolate Sally breed double haploid chromosome ssa16, whole genome shotgun sequence.
AAUGCACCAGUUUGUAAGUCGUUCUGGAUAAGAGCGUCUGCUAAAUUACGUAAC